GAUCCAGCCAUGCCGCGUGUGUGAAGAAGGCCUUCGGGUUGUAAAGCACUUUCAGUGGUGAGGAAAGGUGUGUGGUUAAUACCCGCAUACUGUGACGUUAGCCACAGAAGAAGCACCGGCUAACUCCGUGCCAGCAGCCGCGGUAAUACGGAGGGUGCGAGCGUUAAUCGGAAUAACUGGGCGUAAAGCGCGCGUAGGUGGUUGAGUCAGUCAGAUGUGAAAGCCCCGGGCUUAACCUGGGAACUGCACCUGAUACUGCUUGACUAGAGUACGGUAGAGGGCAGUGGAAUUUCCUGUGUAGCGGUGAAAUGCGUANAUAUAGGAAGGAACACCAGUGGCGAAGGCGACUGCCUGGACUGAUACUGACACUGAGGUGCGAAAGCGUGGGUAGCAAACAGGAUUANAUACCCUGGUAGUCCACGCCGUAAACGAUGUCGACUAGCUGUUGGGAGACUUGAUCUUUUAGUAGCGAAGUUAACGCGAUAAGUCGACCGCCUGGGGAGUACGGCCGCAAGGUUAAAACUCAAAUGAAUUGACGGGGGCCCGCACAAGCGGUGGAGCAUGUGGUUUAAUUCGAAGCAACGCGAAGAACCUUACCUACUCUUGACAUCCAGAGAACUUGGCAGAGAUGCCUUGGUGCCUUCGGGAACUCUGAGACAGGUGCUGCAUGGCUGUCGUCAGCUCGUGUUGUGAAAUGUUGGGUUAAGUCCCGUAACGAGCGCAACCC
rnacentral:rRNA from 1 species